rnacentral:piRNA from 1 species
UGAGCAUACGGAUGUGAUAAACCUUUAUU